rnacentral:lncRNA from 1 species
UGAUGCUUCUUUUUAAGUGAAGGAAAACUGCUAGCACAGCUGCAUACUGAGGUGGAUUUACACCUUUCACUUUUUUUUUUUUUCUUUAUAUGACGAAUUUCUCAAAAGCUGUAUAGAAGAAUGAGUUAACUGCUGAUGCAUGAAGGCAAACGAAGACACUGCCUUACACUUAAUGGCAGCCUAUGGACAACCCUUUACUUUAGAGCCAUUUUUUUUCUGGGGAGACAUUGUCAAGACGGGAAGAGUCUUGAGUUGCACCUGCCUGCAUUCUUGCUCGCUAGCGGACAGUCUUCAGAACAAGUUGGAUCUUCAAAAUUGAAUUUUCUACUUGAAAACACAGUUAAAUGAGUUAUGAGACUGUGAUUGAAGUUGGAAAAGACGGUCCCUUUGGGCUUGAAAAGUGACUGACCCCAAUCAGCAGGGCUUGUUGUCAGUGAUGCUGGAAUCUCUUCACG